GACGUGAAGCGGCGGCCAUCUUGUUGUCCUCUGACCGAAGGAAGUACUUUGCAAAGGGACAAGUUGUUGGGAAGCUACUGCCAUCUGUAGGGUUCAGUGGGGCGCCUGGUGUCUGCCUGCUGGUGACUGAUGGUCCCGCUGAGGCAACGUGCCACCACAUUACAGCUACAGCCAGCUCGCCAGGAACAUGGAAUGAUGGGAAAUGGUGCAGUGCCGCUGUGUGUUGUUCCUGUGACAUUGAGAGCUGUCCUCUAAAGUCUGCCUGGUCUGUCCGCCCGGACCUUCACCUACAGCCCAGAUUCCUGUCAUUCUCCAGUGAAGCAGCAGGAUGGUGUAUGUGGAACUGACUCCUACAGUUUGUGUGUUCAUGGUAAUGAAGGAACAUGUCACCCAGUGCAACGGUUCGACUCAUAAGUCUCAUAGUUUAUGGACAACGAUGGAGCUCAGAGGAACAAGAUAUAACCAGACUGUGGAUCCACAGACAACAGCUGUUAGAUGGAUCAGUUCAUUGUUAGUCCUUGUCCUUACAUCUGAUUUGUUGACAGUCAUUUGUGUCUUCCAAAGAUGUGCUAUACUGUUGAAAAG